GACGAACACUGGCGGCGUGCUUAACACAUGCAAGUCGAACGGAAAGGCCCUGCUUUUGUGGGGUGCUCGAGUGGCGAACGGGUGAGUAACACGUGAGUAACCUGCCCUUGACUUUGGGAUAACUUCAGGAAACUGGGGCUAAUACCGGAUAGGAGCUCCUGCUGCAUGGUGGGGGUUGGAAAGUUUCGGCGGUUGGGGAUGGACUCGCGGCUUAUCAGCUUGUUGGUGGGGUAGUGGCUUACCAAGGCUUUGACGGGUAGCCGGCCUGAGAGGGUGACCGGCCACAUUGGGACUGAGAUACGGCCCAGACUCCUACGGGAGGCAGCAGUGGGGAAUAUUGCACAAUGGGCGGAAGCCUGAUGCAGCAACGCCGCGUGCGGGAUGACGGCCUUCGGAUUGUAAACCGCUUUCGCCUGUGACGAAGCGUGAGUGACGGUAAUGGGUAAAGAAGCACCGGCUAACUACGUG
rnacentral:rRNA from 1 species